GAUGAACGCUGGCGGCGUGCCUAAUACAUGCAAGUUGAGCGCUGAAGGUUGGUACUUGUACCAACUGGAUGAGCAGCGAACGGGUGAGUAACGCGUGGGGAAUCUGCCUUUGAGCGGGGGACAACAUUUGGAAACGAAUGCUAAUACCGCAUAAAAACUUUAAACACAAGUUUUAAGUUUGAAAGAUGCAAUUGCAUCACUCAAAGAUGAUCCCGCGUUGUAUUAGCUAGUUGGUGAGGUAAAGGCUCGCCAAGGCGAUGAUACAUAGCCGACCUGAGAGGGUGAUCGGCCAAAAUGGGAAUGAGGCACGGCCCAAACUCCUACGGGAGGCAGCAGUAGGGAAUCUUCGGCAAUGGACGACAGUCUGACCGAGCAACGCCGCGUGAGUGAAGAAGGUCUUCGGAUCGUAAAACUCUGUUGGUAGAGAAGAACGUUGGUGAGGGUGGAAAGCUCAUCAAGUGACGGUAACUACCCAGAAAGGGACGGCUAACUACGUG
rnacentral:rRNA from 1 species